UACGGAGGGGGCUAGCGUUGUUCGGAAUUACUGGGCGUAAAGCGCACGUAGGCGGCUUUGUAAGUUAGAGGUGAAAGCCCGGGGCUCAACUCCGGAACUGCCUUUAAGACUGCAUCGCUAGAAUCGUGGAGAGGUGAGUGGAAUUCCGAGUGUAGAGGUGAAAUUCGUAGAUAUUCGGAAGAACACCAGUGGCGAAGGCGACUCACUGGACACGUAUUGACGCUGAGGUGCGAAAGCGUGGGGAGCAAACAGG
rnacentral:rRNA from 1 species